CUGCAACACACUUUUAAGGACAUAUGUGGUUUAUGAUAUAACAAGUUCACGCACUGUUUUACAUGCAAAAUGAGUCUUCACCGUGCAUAGAUUCAAAGCGCAAAAUAUUUGAGCGGUGCCACAUCCUUGGUAAUGUUGUUCGAUCAAAAAAGACAGGAAGAAAAAAUGGUCCACCAUACUGUGGAGUGCAGACGCAUCAUGCAUGAGCAUGAUUACUUGAUUAGAACAAUACUCUAUAUGUAUACUACACCCCUGCCUACCAUAUCAUUGAUUUAGCGAAAACAUAGCUUCUGGCUCCAUCCUACGGGAGAUGCCUGAACAUGGCUGGUUAUUGGCCACCGGCAUCUGGACGUGUCGGGUGUGGCGCGCGCGGGAAGAGAAUGACAGCGACUCAGCCAUGGAGCCAUGGAGGAGGACCGGAUGAGGGAGAAUGAAACCUGGGAAUGGUCGAUGGCAGCAUCCACCGUGCUGCGCCGCCGACGUUCCAACUACCGCCGCCGCCGGACACGAACCAGGCUAGUAUACCCGUUCCACCGUUCCACCCUCCAGGCUUCCAAGUUCUUGCUGCCUCACGACCUCACGCGACAAGGAGCCCAGGUUCCAACAAGCCUGUCUCAUGGGCGC
rnacentral:lncRNA from 7 species